rnacentral:rRNA from 1 species
UGGGGAAUAUUGCACAAUGGGCGCAAGCCUGAUGCAGCCAUGCCGCGUGUGUGAAGAAGGCCUUCGGGUUGUAAAGCACUUUCAGCGAGGAGGAAGGUGGUGAACUUAAUACGUUCAUCAAUUGACGUUACUCGCAGAAGAAGCACCGGCUAACUCCGUGCCAGCAGCCGCGGUAAUACGGAGGGUGCAAGCGUUAAUCGGAAUUACUGGGCGUAAAGCGCACGCAGGCGGUUUGUUAAGUCAGAUGUGAAAUCCCCGGGCUCAACCUGGGAACUGCAUUUGAAAACUGGCAAGCUAGAGUCUCGUAGAGGGGGGUAGAAUUCCAGGUGUAGCGGUGAAAUGCGUAGAGAUCUGGAGGAAUACCGGUGGCGAAGGCGGCCCCCUGGACGAAGACUGACGCUCAGGUGCGAAAAGCGUGGGGAGCAAAACAGGAUUAGAUACCCUGGUAGUCCACGCUGUAAAACGAUGUCGAUUUUGGAGGUUGUGCCCUUGAGGCGUGGCUUCCGGAGCUAACGCGUUAAAUCGACCGCCUGGGGAGUACGGCCGC